GACGAACGCUGGCGGCGUGCUUAACACAUGCAAGUCGAACGGAAAGGCCCUGCUUUUGUGGGGUGCUCGAGUGGCGAACGGGUGAGUAACACGUGAGUAACCUGCCCUUGACUUUGGGAUAACUUCAGGAAACUGGGGCUAAUACCGGAUAGGAGCUCCUGCUGCAUGGUGGGGGUUGGAAAGUUUCGGCGGUUGGGGAUGGACUCGCGGCUUAUCAGCUUGUUGGUGGGGUAGUGGCUUACCAAGGCUUUGACGGGUAGCCGGCCUGAGAGGGUGACCGGCCCCAUUGGGCUUGGGUACCGGCCCGAACCCCUACGGGGGCCAGCAGUGGGGAAUUUUGCACAAGGGGCGGAGCCCUGAUGCAGCACCGCCGCGUGCGGGAUGCCGGCUUUCGGGUUUUAACCCGUUUUCCCCUGUGACGAAGCGGGGGUGACGGUAAUGGUUAAAGAAGCACCGGCUAACUACGG
rnacentral:rRNA from 1 species